GAUGAACGCUGGCGGCGUGCUUAACACAUGCAAGUCGAACGGAAAGGCUCCUGCUUGCAGGGGUACUCGAGUGGCGAACGGGUGAGUAACACGUGGGUGAUCUGCCCUGCACUUCGGGAUAAGCCUGGGAAACUGGGUCUAAUACCGGAUAGGACGAUGGUUUGGAUGCCAUUGUGGAAAGUUUUUCGGUGUGGGAUGAGCUCGCGGCCUAUCAGCUUGUUGGUGGGGUAAUGGCCUACCAAGGCGUCGACGGGUAGCCGGCCUGAGAGGGUGUACGGCCACAUUGGGACUGAGAUACGGCCCAGACUCCUACGGGAGGCAGCAGUGGGGAAUAUUGCACAAUGGGCGCAAGCCUGAUGCAGCGACGCCGCGUGGGGGAUGACGGCCUUCGGGUUGUAAACUCCUUUCGCUAGGAACGAAGCGCAAGUGACGGUACCUGGAGAAGAAGCACCGGCUAACUACGU
rnacentral:rRNA from 1 species